rnacentral:rRNA from 1 species
ACGGAAGGCAGCAGUGGGGAAUAUUGCACAGUGGGCGAAAGCCUGAUGCAGCGACGCCGCGUGAGUGAAGAAGUAUCUCGGUAUGUAAAGCUCUAUCAGCAGGGAAGAAAAUGACGGUACCUGACUAAGAAGCCCCGGCUAACUACGUGCCAGCAGCCGCGGUAAUACGUAGGGGGCAAGCGUUAUCCGGAUUUACUGGGUGUAAAGGGAGCGUAGACGGUUUGGCAAGUCUGAAGUGAAAUGCGGGGGCUCAACUCCUGAACUGCUUUGGAAACUGUCGAACUAGAGUGCAGGAGAGGUAAGUGGAAUUCCUAGUGUAGCGGUGAAAUGCGUAGAUAUUAGGAGGAACACCAGUGGCGAAGGCGGCUUACUGGACUGUAACUGACGUUGAGGCUCGAAAGCGUGGGGAGCAAACAGGAUUAGAUACCCUGGUA